CUGCACUAGUCGGGGAGAUAGCGGUGCCUUGUGACCUGCAAUCCGCUACAGCAGGGAUGAAUUCCCGACAGAGGGUGUAUGUUUUAUUGUCUGCCCCGGGAAAGCGGUGUUGAGGAUUUGGUCUUGCGCAACGUUGUCCCGUGAACCAUGUCAGGCGGGGAACCGAGCAGCAUUAAGCGGACCGCAGCGUGUGCCGCGAGGGUGCCGUUUCUGAGCCGGCUGCCCGGGUAACGGAUAGGAUGUACAUUCGAAGCCGGGUGUGCAG
rnacentral:SRP_RNA from 1 species